rnacentral:rRNA from 1 species
UACGGGGGGGGUAAGCGUUGUUCGGAAUUACUGGGCGUAAAGGGCUCGUAGGCGGCCAACUAAGUCAUACGUGAAAUCCCUCAGCUUAACUGGGGAACUGCGUGUGAUACUGGAUGGCUUGGAUUUGGGAGAGGAAUGCGGAAUUCCAGGUGUAGCGGUGAAAUGCGUAGAUAUCUGGAGGAACACCGGUGGCGAAGGCGGCAUUCUGGACCGAUAUUGACGCUGAGGAGCGAAAGCCAGGGGAGCAAACGGG